GUCUGGUGCCAGCAGCCGCGGUAAUUCCAGCCUCCAAUAAGCGUAUAUUAAAGUUGUUGCAGUUUAAAAAAGCUCCGUAGUUGAAUUUCGGGGUUAGUAGGUUGGUCAUGCCUCUGGUAUGUACUGGUCUCACUGAUUCCUCCUUCCUGAUGAACCGUAAUGCCAUUAAUUUGGUGUUGCGGGGAAUUUGGACUGUUACUUUGAAAAAAUUAGAGUG
rnacentral:rRNA from 1 species